UUUGGGGUUCUGCUUCUUACGGAGUGUUACACUGAAUCUCUGUUCUUCCUUACUAAGAUAAUAGGCUGAAUCGAGGGUGAAAUACCAUAGUUCUUUGUCAAACCUGCAAUUUCAACUACAGAGCUCCCUUCAAUCUGUCAUAAAAACAUCUAGUAAAUUAAACCCAGUCAAAAUCAUUACUUGUAGAUCUGGAAAAUGGAAGGUGCAGAAGAGAAUGAAUUGCGUCUGGUAGCUUUAUGUAAAAGCCUGGGUCAUUUGUGGUCGGAGAAUGAUA
rnacentral:lncRNA from 1 species